rnacentral:snoRNA from 1 species
AUCAGUAAAAAAUCCAAUCGAC